rnacentral:rRNA from 1 species
AUUUGUCUUGAAUGUGGAACUCAGGACACAUGAACACCGACACGUUGAACGCAUAUUGCGCAUCGGACGAUUCAACCCGACCGAUGCACACAUCCUUGAGUGCCUACUCAGUUAUCUUAUAUGGCCAUACCAGACUGACCUGUCCCUGUUUGACACCCGGGGGCGGGUCGCAGAAUGGCGUGCUCGGGCCCUGUAUAUGGGCCCGUGGGCGCUGAAAGCGAGAGUGCUAACACAUGAAACAGUGGUGGGUGCGUACGGGCGCGCGUCAAGUCGCAACGGUUCGACCUCCAGUAUCAACCAGGGAUGAAACCCCCGCAGCCUAACAGAUUAACACCAGGCGCUAGCAAAGGGGUCCCAGGUUGGCUCGGGUCGUGUAACACUUGCGGCCCAACGCGCCCAUACGUCCGCCACCGUCAUCUCGUAGCAAAGUAGGCCUCAAGUGAUGUGUGACUACCCCCUAUUUUUUAAGGCAAUAAA